rnacentral:rRNA from 1 species
CCUACGGGUGGCAGCAGUGGGGGAUAUUGCACAAUGGCGGGAACCCUGAUGCAGCGACGCCGCGUGAGUGAAGAAGUAGUUCGGCAUGUAAAGCUCUUUUAGCAGGGGAGCAAAUUACAGUACCUGACCAAGAAGCACCGGCCAACUACGGUCCAGCAGCCGCCGGUAUACGUAGGGGGCAAGCGUUAUCCGGAUUUAAUGGGGGUAAAGGGAGCGUAGUCGGUUUUGUAGGGCUGGAGUGAAAGGCCUGGGGCCAACCCCGGGCGUGCUUUGGAAACUGUGUGACUUGAGUAGAGGAGGGGCAGGCGGAAUGCCUAGUGUAGCGGUGAAAUGCGUAGAUAUCAGGAGGAACACCGGCUGCGAAGGCGGCCUGCUGGACUGAAUCUGACGUUGAGGCUCGAAAGCGUGGGGAGCAAACAGGAUUAGAUACCCGAGUAGUC